rnacentral:tRNA from 1 species
GAGGAUAUUGCUCAAGCGGCAGAGCGCAUGCUUGGCAGGCAUGGGGUCCUGGGUUCAAUCCCUAGCACCUCCU